AUACAACUGUACUGCACUUGCGUAUCACAGCUAUGUCACGUGUCAGUUAAGUUCAUGGUGUACCUACACCCCUUUGUGUCAAAACUGGAUUUAUCUUGAUAACGCAACAGACGGAGUAUGUAUGCGUGGAUUACGUUGGAUUUAAGUGCCUCAUGCCUUUGGUAAUUCAGUCUUAAAUUUUGUCAAAUAUGAGUCAUUAGUGUUCGUUAGGAUGUUGAAUUCGUCAAUCGGUCGACUGAUGAUAUACAUGAAAAUUUAUAUUAAUGCCUGACAAUUAAUAAUGGUUUCACAGUACAUAGAAUACUGCGUACUAGUAUUGCUGGACUUGAUAAGGACAUGACAUACAAAAUCAGAUGGCUUUUAUUUCGCCACGAUUUUACAAUAAAUAGCUGAGAAGUGGUCGAAAACAACACUGAUGUACUCAAGUACUAGAAAAUUAAUGAUUUGUUAAUAGGGGGCAAUAAGGGAUAAGCGAUGGUAAAUUUAGGCAAGACAGGAUUUGAAUGUCAAAAUUUAUUGUUAACUUUUAUAAAGUACGUUGUUUUGUACGAAUGAUGGGACACAUUGUGUCAUAUUUUGAUACUGGGACAAAUAUCCAAAAAGGGGGACUGUCCCGCCAAGAUCGGGAGGUCUGGCAUGUAUGCUGAAACCAUAUAGCACACAGCUUUGAUAUUUGGUAUAUGACAUCGGAUUGUAGAAUUUGACAAACUUUGUUGAAAUCAUGCCCAUGUGUUCAAAAUUUGCCUUGCUCUAUAUAUAUAUAAUUACCCAGGUGAGCAAUCUUGUUCAAUCUCGGCCUCUUGUUAAAGAAGUUUUCACAAAAAGCUUUGUUUAUUUCAAAUUGCAUUGUAUUACUAGAGUUAAACUGGAAUAUUGUGUUUAAAUAAUUAAAUAGAGAAAGAAACAAUAAAAUGGUUGUGUGGAAGAAUCAGAUGUGGGACUAUCAUUUAUAAUAUAACCUGUAUGGGUCUGUGUAACUAUCAGGUUUGCAGUAAUCUUAUUUUCAGCUACAAAUCUUAUUCACUGCAGAAUGUAAUCUAAAUGUCAUGUGAGCAAAUAAGUCUGAGCCAAUAGUCGCUUGACAGUUCACAAUGUUAAACUGUUUACUUGUAUCAGGCCGAUGAAUGGCAUAUGGAGCUUUACUUAGUUUGUGUUUGGAUCGAAGACUUUGUUGCUUGACUUAUAAAACAAAAUUGAAAGAGUUUUUCUUUAAAAUAAAUUGUGUUUAACAGCCAUACUCUGACGUUACAUUUCAAUUUAAUUUAAUUUUGCUGAAAUCUUAUCAUUAAACAUGGCAACAUUUCCUGUGUCUUCUGGUGCUGAAGAACAUGUUGUGGAUAAAGAAUAUUGUUGUUCAAUCUGCGAAGAGCAUAAUACAGAGAUAAAUGCGACUUUUUACUGUAAAAAAUGCAAUAAAUUUUUCUGUGGACAAUGUAUUCAUUCUCACAGUAAGCAUGGUCUGUGGUUCAAUAAACAAUCUCCUUAUGGAAAGGAUAAAAUAAUGAAGUGGCCACUUUCUAAGAAAAUAGAGAAUUAUCUUUUAACAUGUGAUAUUCACAAAGAUGAAAAAUUAACAAAGUUCUGCCAGGACCACAGUCGGCUAUGCUGCUAUACAUGUGUUGUCCUUGAUCACAGUCGGUGCACUCAGGUUAAAGUUUUCUCUAAAGUCAAAAGGCAGUCAUCAGAUGUAAAGAAAUUGUCAGUCAGAGUUUCUAAAACUCUUUCAAGAUUAAAGAAGCUCCAGAGUUAUAGGGAGGACAACAGGAGAUCUAUGCAGGGCUCCUAUGCUGAAUUUGAGCGAAACAAGGUGAAGACAAUGCGACUUAAUAUACAAUCUUUCUUAGUCCAAUGUGACGACACCUCCAUGAAUGAAACAUUUGAAAACGUGGAAUAUAUAUUAGAUGAAAUUCGUCAGAAAGUAAAUUUAUUAUUAACAGAUUUUGAAAAUGGCUCUAUUAAGGAACAUAAAGAAGAGCUGAAACUUAAUCAAGCUCCUCUCAUCAGUGUGAUCAAAACCUGCAUCAGACAUCAUGGUGAAUUGUUACCACUCCAUAAAGCCAUGCAGAAAGUGAAGUAUCAACCAGAACUCUCCUUAAUAGCCCAUUAUAAAUGUCUGGACAAAAUACAACAGUGUGAGAUAUAUAUGAAUGAGAACUUUUCAGACGAGUUGUUCUCUGUGAAAGGGGUGGUGUCUAAGUACAAAGUGAGAAUAUUUAGGGAUUCAGAUACAUGCAAUAUCACUGCGGUAUGUGCUCUCCCAGAUGGGCAAGUCUUGGUUGCAGACUGGCAGAAUGACAAAGUCAAGCUGCUGAACCAGCAGUACCAGGUGGUGAGUCACUGGGGUGUGAAUGCCAAGCCAUGGGACAUGUGUCUCAUCACACCCAGUGAGGCUGCAGUGGCUUUGGGUGAUCAUGGGGUCCAGUUUAUCACUGUCACCCAGAGCAAGCUAGUUCCUAUGGGAUACCAAAGGGGUCGAAACUUUAACUUCUGCUCGAGCAGGAAAAAAUGCUGCUUGAGCAGCAUUUAAAUGCUGCUCGACCAGCAAAAUGCUGCUCGAGCAGCAAAUUUACUGCUCGACCAGCAUUUUUUCUGCUCGAGCAGAAAAAUCCUGCUCGACCAGCAUUUAUUUUUAGAUUAUGGCAUUAGCCAAUCAGAGCUCUUGUUAUAUUUGCCACAUGGUGCGAAACUGGUUUGUUUUGAAAAAAUGGCUGCCACCAUUAUGGUGCCUUUUUCACAUCUUCUGCAAGUUUAUGUGACGACCUGUUUAAAGUUUAACAGUGACACGCGGUGGACUUCAAUAUGUAUGAUCUACUUAUGCUGCCACAAUGUAAAGGCAACAAUCACUGGGUUUUGCUGUUUGCAAGUGUUAUGUCCAGGACUGUAACCAUUUACGACUCGUUGGGUGGUAACAACAAGGCAUUGUUCGAUUUGUUCUGCCAGUUCAUGUGUCAACGAGCGCAAAUUGUGAACGAUGGCUUGGAAAAAAUUCAGUUCAGAGUUCAAAGCGCCACCUUGCAACAAACAGCGCCAUGGAAACAGCUGUGGAGUGUUUGCAUUGAUGACUGCCAAAUGUAUGGUCAUGAAAAGCAUCCCACAAUGUUGCGACAGGCCCAUGAUUCAGCUUAUCAAGACUAGUCGUGAGACGCAGACUUCUGAUUCAUGGAGUGCGGCAAACAUAUCUGUGUGACUCGAUCACUCCACUGUAAAGACCCGCACGGCAUUAAAAUGGAUAUUAUCAAUAUGUGUUGUUGCUCGAAAAUAUGUUUUGUAGCAGGAAGUGCUUUGGGCUCGAUUAAUCUGAGAACUCAACAAAAUAUUAAUAAAAUCCUUCUGUGCCUUUUAGUUCUGAAAACAGAAGUAGCCAGUUGGUAUUACACAUCUCCUAAACAAGUACAGCACAAUAAAACUGAAGGUUUUAAAUCCUACAUUUUUAUAACAUCUUUAUAUCCACACAAAAAUAUUGAUGAUUGUGGUGCUCAGAUUGCAAAACCACCUGUUUGGCAAAAAUAAUGCAGAUGGUUAGAUUAUGAUAAGUGCAACAAAAAAAGAAUAACUCUGGAGAUAAUAAUUGAUAUGAUAAUCAUUGCUUGACAGAAUCACAAUUGACCUAGAUAUUUAUUUAUGUAGUGGUGUAUUUUUCAAUGAGUGCCUUAAGAUUCCAAAAACAUAUUGACUUAAAAUAAAUAAUCCCGAUGGCGUAAA